UACGAAGGGUGCUAGCGUUGCUCGGGAUUACUGGGCGUAAAGGGCGCGUAGGCGGCUCUGUUAGUCAGGCGUGAAAGUCCUGGGCUCAACCUGGGAACUGCGCUUGAUACGGCAGGGCUAGAGGAUGGAAGAGGGUCGCGGAAUUCCCAGUGUAGAGGUGAAAUUCGUAGAUAUUCGCAAGAACACCAGUGGCGAAGGCGGCUCACUGGCCCGUUACUGACGCUGAGGCACGAAAGCGUGGGGAGCAAACAGG
rnacentral:rRNA from 1 species